rnacentral:rRNA from 1 species
GACGAACGCUGGCGGCGCGCCUAACACAUGCAAGUCGAACGAGAGAUGAAGAGCUUGCUCUUCAAAUCGAGUGGCGAACGGGUGAGUAACGCGUGAGGAACCUGCCUUGAAGAGGGGGACAACAGUUGGAAACGACUGCUAAUACCGCAUGACGCAUAGAGGUCGCAUGAUCUUUAUGCCAAAGAUUUAUCGCUUCAAGAUGGCCUCGCGUCUGAUUAGCUAGUUGCGGGUAACGGCCCACCAAGGCGACGAUCAGUAGGGGUUCUGAGAGGAAGGUCCCCCCACAUUGGAACUGAGACACGGUCCAAAACUCCUACGGGAGGCA